rnacentral:rRNA from 1 species
GUGUCAGCCGCCGCGGUAAGACAGGGGGCCCGAGCGUUACUCGGAAUCACUGGGCUUAAAGGGUGCGUAGGCGGUCUCGCAAGCGUCUUGUGAAAUCCCCGGGCUCAACCCGGGAACGGCAGGGCGAACUGCGGGACUUGAGGAAACUAGAGGCCGGCAGAACGGUAGGUGGAGCGGUGGAAUGCGUAGAGAUCUACCGGAAUGCCAAAGGUGAAGACAGCCGGCUGGGGUUUUCCUGACGCUGAGGCACGAAAGCGUGGGUAGCAAACAGGAUUAGAUACCCCUGUAGUCC